CCGCUGCGCCGUCUGUGCCCACUUUUCAGUUUCGCUGGUGUCUUCCGAUCUAGCACGACCCUUUCAGCGGUUUCGAUUGUCAGGGGCCGCUCUGCCUCAGAGCUUGGCUUCCUGUCUUUGGAAUCGGAAAGCUGAAAGCUUCUCCGGAAGGCAGAGGGCACCCUCGUCAUCAUGAGUCCUGAUGUUUAAACCCCUUCGGGAAGGUAGAACAACAUCCGUUUAUUUUAUUUUUUUUCCCACUCACUAUGGUUGUUGCUCCAGAGUCUGCUCGCAUGUAUUUUGCAUCUGUGGUUAAAUAUAGAAUUUUAAGUCCUCACUUCCAAGUUGAGCUGUACAGCAGGCUUUAUUUUGGGGAGUAGAUCAUGCAAAUGAAGAUUUCGUUCAUCGAUUUCGGUCUUGCUUUACAGAAAUUUUGAGUAAUCUUUUCAACACCGCGCUGGAGCAUUCAAUUGUAUGUUUUAAGUUGGAGGUUUAAUGAUUUCUUAUUACAUCUGGACUCACAGAUGUAUGCAUAUUAGUUGUGUAUUUUUUUUUUUACCUUCUACUUAUAACUGUUUUGUUUCACUGGGUGUGCAUGAAGUUCUCUGCUGCAUUUGAAACAGCACUUUGCAAAAUUUAAUAGAACCUCCAUCCAAGCUGUAGCUUAUGCUCAAGAUUUUAUCUUUAGUAAUGGUGCCUCGUGCUUCCUCACGGGCGCUGCUCCUCCCUGCAUGCAGGUCACCCUGCAGGCCUUUCCUCAGGUCACUCCCUGAAGGAGUCCCUGCAGGCCUUUCUUCAGGUCACUCCCUGAAGGAGUCCCUGCAGGCCUUUCCUCGGGUCACUCCCUGAAGGAGUCCCUGCAGGCCUUUCCUCAGGUCACUCCCUGAAGGAGUCCCUGCAGGCCUUUCUUCAGGUCACUCCCUGAAGGUCUCCCUGCAGGCCUUUCCUCAGGUCACUCCCUGAAGGAGUCCCUGCAGGCCUUUCCUUAGGUCACUCUGUGAUGGUCUCCCUGCAGGCCUUUACUCAGGUCACUCCCUGAAGGAGUCCCUGUAGGCCUUUCCUCAGGUCACUCCCUGAAGGAGUCCCUGCAGGCCUUUCUUCAGGUCACUCCCUGAAGGUCUCCCUGCAGGCCUUUCCUCGGGUCACUCCCUGAAGGAGUCCCUGCAGGCCUUUCCUCAGGUCACUCCCUGAAGGAGUCCCUGCAGGCCUUUCCUCAGGUCACUCCCUGAAGGAGUCCCUGCAGGCCUUUCUUCAGGUCACUCCCUGAAGGUCUCCCUGCAGGCCUUUCCUCGGGUCACUCCCUGAAGGAGUCCCUGCAGGCCUUUCCUCAGGUCACUCCGUGAUGGUCUCCCUGUAGGCCUUUCCUCAGGUCACUCCCUGAAGGAGUUCCUGCAGGCCUUUCCUCGGGUCACUCUCUGAAGGAGUCCCUGCAGGCCUUUCCUCAGGUCACUCCCUGAAGGAGUCCCUGCAGGCCUUUCCUCAGGUCACUCCGUGAAGGUCUCCCUGCAGGCCUUUCCUCGGGUCACUCCCUGAAGGAGUCCCUGCAGGCCUUUCCUCAGGUCACUCCCUGAAGGAGUCCCUGCAGGCCUUUCCUCAGGUCACUCCCUGAAGGAGUCCCUGCAGGCCUUUCCUCAGGUCACUCCCUGAAGGAGUCCCUGCAGGCCUUUCCUCAGGUCACUCCCUGAAGGUCUCCCUGCAGGCCUUUCCUCAGGUCACUCCCUGAAGGAGUCCCUGCAGGCCUUUCCUCAGGUCACUCCCUGAAGGUCUCCUUGCAGGCCUUUCCUGGUCUGGGUCACAUAGGGGCCUGGAGUCAAUCACAGGCAGUGCAUGGGAUGCCAGUCUAUGGCAGGGCACAUACAGGCAACGGUGCAUUUGCCCUGUGAGGCAGCGCUGCUACCCACUGAGCCCCUGUACAGCCCGUUUAACUAAUCAUAUCAGUGCAGUAUGUGUGACGUGAGAAUGAAUUCUGUCUUCCAUCCCUCAUAUCACUUUUGUUCUAAUGGGCCAAUUGUCACACUGAAUUACUUAAAAGACUAAUGAAAAUAAGGUGCACUUUAAGUAUCUGCGUUUUUAAUUUUACUUGGUUUAAUUGCAGUUGAACUGUGGUUCAGUCAAAAUGUAUUUUUGCUGCUUUUCCAGAUGGGUUGGUAUAAGGUCAUUUAUUUUGCUUGCUUUCUGAAUAUGACUAAAACCCAAAGUUUGUAAUAAGUGGAGUAAAUGUGGAGUAACAGUAAGAGUAUACAAACUUUUAGAUGAAUGAUAAUUAAAAUAUGGAGGGAUUCUGACCACUGAUGCUAACCGGCCAUUGAAGCCAGGUCUGUUAAUGGAUUCGGGCCCCGUCAUGAGACAGGACCUAGCCCAGUUAGUGUCGCGCCUGUAACUGGCAGGGGUGGGACCCUGCCGACAUUUGUAGCCUGGGCUGACUGAGCCUCACCUUUGUGAGCUCGGGAUAGCGCGCCCAUGUGGUGGCAUUGUGCCACUUUACCCUGCCUCUGGAAGGCGCCCAAGGCCACAGUGGCAUUUCCAGACUAAUCCUGAGCUUAAACGCUCUCCCGAGUCACUUGUUUCUGUGCUGGUGGGCAGAUGUGUCAUUUUUGUGUGACGCCCCUGUGGCCCCUCAUCAUCUGGGGGUGGGGCAGCAGCACCUCCCCCAGACUAAACCAAAGCCAGCUCAUUAGAGUGAACUUGAAGCUCCCCUUUUAGGUGGCUGUGAAGCGAUGGCUGGCUGCAGGGAGUUGGCGUGCAGGUGUGUAACACCAGGUGUAUGAGCUUAAUAGCCAUGUGUUAUCUGUUACUAAUGAAUUUGCCCCAGCUUUGAAGUGGUCCGACUGAAUUAUUUAUAAUACAGAUAUUAGUCCCAUUCCUUUUUUCCUUCACGCUGCCUUAUAAUUAAUGAUGGCCCACUCAAGGUACAAACAGACAGAGACCUAGAAUAAUUCUUUAAAUGUUUAUCUACCUUGUAAGCGAUUCGAGUUCUUGAUUGACCUUCAUGACGUCUGACGGCUAUCACUUCCUCGCUUCCGUAGCUUUUUAUUUUCUCCGAAGAGACUGUGAGAUAUUUGUAGCUCCUUAUGCCACAGAUGACGUGUUUACCCGAAUGCAUCGAUUUUGUGCUUCCCCUGCAGUUUCUGUAAACCAGUGAAGGAGGGUGUAACUGUUUGGUAUAAUUCACCGCACUGGAGUACUAAGGGAAUUCAAGUGGCCAGUGCAUUUUUCAUGAUAAAAAAAAAAAGAUUCCAGACUUAAAUGAAGAUAUAAAAAUGAUUUCAUUACCUGCUGUGUUACACCAAAACUAGUUUGUGUGUUUAUUUUUCCUUUUUUCCACUGAAAAAUUCAAAUCACUGCAGUUCUUAGAGUAACACUCUACACUUCCACUCUAACAUUAAAAUGUUAUUUAAUUUAUAUCAGAGAGCCCGCUGGAAUGUUUGAGUUAUCGCAAUUCCUGGCGCUCAGCGCUGCGUUUUAAAGGGGCCACUUUGAUUUAAGUCUCUGUUAAUGAAGCGCUAAGUGUGUGAAACGGGGAGCGAAAGUGCUGCAUGGGGUGAUGGCUGCAGGAGGGAGCAAGAACGUGGGCCGUCUGGGGGUCCCCGAGGAGCGGCUUGGAAAACACUGCAUUAGACGUGCCCUUCUGUAGCCUUCCUUGCGGAUGCUGGAUUGGGUAGCGGACAGCAAAACCUCUGAGCACUCCUUCCUGUGGGCUGCCUUGAAAGUGAUCCCCCCCCCACCCUCAAAGCAGCAAUGGCAGCAGUAGGAUGCAGGGUCUCGUCUUUCAGAUACGAUGUUAUUUUCAGGACAAAUUUAAUUUUCCUGUAUCAUAUUCACGUCGCUGCAAAGAGGAGGGAGAACAAUCCAACAUGUCCUCUGAGCUCAGCAGGUAAGUAUUUACCUAAUGACUGAACUAUGGCCCGUGUGCAGUGUGACUGAUGUGCAUCCCACUGAAUUAUCUCAGGCUUGCUGCUAUAAUCCACUUAAUAUGCUGUUAUUAUCCACUGAGCCCCUGGUUUGCACAGACCGACAAUUCACUAAAAUAGUGUGCGAGAAGGUGGUUCUGCUGUCGCGUUGACAGAGUACAGUGAAACGAUCGUCUGCUUCUUGCUGAGCACAGCGCCAUAUAAGGCUGUCUGUGCUCAGUCAUCGAUAAAUAACAGAAAGUAAUAAUGCCACUGCAUCAUUUGCAUAGACUCAUAGCAUACGUAGUUGUUAAAUGUGAUAUGUGACAUUUGCUAAUGUUGAUGAAGGAAAAACAAGGUUGAUUCCUCCUUGAAUUUGUUUUGGACUCUUUUGUGGUGUUUGCGUUUUAUGGUGAAUAUUCUCUAUU